UGAGGAACAUGACCUUCGGCGGGGGAUAGCCGGCCCAACGGCCGGGUAAUACCGCGUACGACCACAUGGGGACAUCCCUGAGUGGUGAAAGCAGCAAUGCGCCGAUGGAGUGCCUCGCGGCCUAUCAGCUAGUUGGUGAGGUAACGGCUCACCAAGGCGACGACGGGUAGCUGGUCUGAGAGGAUGGCCAGCCACAUUGGGACUGAAACACGGCCCAGACUCCUAGGGAGG
rnacentral:rRNA from 1 species